rnacentral:rRNA from 1 species
UACGAAGGGGGCUAGCGUUGCUCGGAAUCACUGGGCGUAAAGCGCACGUAGGCGGAUUGCUAAGUCAGGGGUGAAAUCCUGGAGCUCAACUCCAGAACUGCCUUUGAUACUGGCGAUCUUGAGUCCGGGAGAGGUGAGUGGAACUGCGAGUGUAGAGGUGAAAUUCGUAGAUAUUCGGAAGAAACACCAGUGGCGAAGGCGGGCUCCACUGG